AGAGUUUGAUCCUGGCUCAGGACGAACGCUGGCGGCGUGCCUAAUACAUGCAAGUCGAGCGAGCUGAAUUCAAAGAUUCCUUCGGGGUGAUUUGUUGGACGCUAGCGGCGGAUGGGUGAGUAACACGUGGGCAAUCUGCCCUAAAGACUGGGAUACCACUUGGAAACAGGUGCUAAUACCGGAUAACAACAUGAAUCGCAUGAUUCAAGUUUGAAAGGCGGCGCAAGCUGUCACUUUAGGAUGAGCCCGCGGCGCAUUAGCUAGUUGGUGGGGUAAAGGCCUACCAAGGCAAUGAUGCGUAGCCGAGUUGAGAGACUGAUCGGCCACAUUGGGACUGAGACACGGCCCAAACUCCUACGGGAGGCAGCAGUAGGGAAUCUUCCACAAUGGACGCAAGUCUGAUGGAGCAACGCCGCGUGAGUGAAGAAGGUCUUCGGAUCGUAAAGCUCUGUUGUUGGUGAAGAAGGAUAGAGGCAGUAACUGGUCUUUAUUUGACGGUAAUCAACCAGAAAGUCACGGCUAACUACGUGCCAGCAGCCGCGGUAAUACGUAGGUGGCAAGCGUUGUCCGGAUUUAUUGGGCGUAAAGCGAGCGCAGGCGGAAUGAUAAGUCUGAUGUGAAAGCCCACGGCUCAACCGUGGAACUGCAUCGGAAACUGUCAUUCUUGAGUGCAGAAGAGGAGAGUGGAACUCCAUGUGUAGCGGUGGAAUGCGUAGAUAUAUGGAAGAACACCAGUGGCGAAGGCGGCUCUCUGGUCUGCAACUGACGCUGAGGCUCGAAAGCAUGGGUAGCGAACAGGAUUAGAUACCCUGGUAGUCCAUGCCGUAAACGAUGAGCGCUAGGUGUUGGGGACUUUCCGGU
rnacentral:rRNA from 1 species